CGGAGUCUGAAUGACAAGGUGGCCGGCUAUGCCAGUGUCUGGAUGACAAAGCUAACGAGACGAGUCUCACAUCGCCUGAUGAUCUUGGGCUGUGUGUGUGAUUGGACUGACGAGGACGUCAGGGCCUUAACGGGGGGAGUCUGACUUAGACACUAGUAAUAAUAACUGGGCUUAAUCAUUUUGGGCUGGUGGUUUGGGCCGAACGAGUUAUUAUUGCUAG
rnacentral:lncRNA from 1 species